GACGAACGCUGGCGGCGUGCCUAAUACAUGCAAGUCGAACGCUUCUUUCCUCCCGAGUGCUUGCACUCAAUUGGAAAGAGGAGUGGCGGACGGGUGAGUAACACGUGGGUAACCUCCCCAUCAGAGGGGGAUAACACUUGGAAACAGGUGCUAAUACCGCAUAACAGUUUAUGCCGCAUGGCAUAAGAGUGAAAGGCGCUUUCGGGUGUCGCUGAUGGAUGGACCCGCGGUGCAUUAGCUAGUUGGUGAGGUAACGGCUCACCAAGGCCACGAUGCAUAGCCGACCUGAGAGGGUGAUCGGCCACACUGGGACUGAGACACGGCCCAGACUCCUACGGGAGGCAGCAGUAGGGAAUCUUCGGCAAUGGACGAAAGUCUGACCGAGCAACGCCGCGUGAGUGAAGAAGGUUUUCGGAUCGUAAAACUCUGUUGUUAGAGAAGAACAAGGACGUUAGUAACUGAACGUCCCCUGACGGUAUCUAACCAGAAAGCCACGGCUAACUACGUG
rnacentral:rRNA from 1 species